rnacentral:rRNA from 1 species
UACGGGGGGGGCAAGCGUUGUUCGGAAUUACUGGGCGUAAAGGGCUCGUAGGUGGCCAACUAAGUCAGACGUGAAAUCCCCAGGCUUAACCUGGGAACUGCGUCUGAUACUGGAUGGCUUGAAUUCGGGAGAGGGAUGCAGAAUUCCAGGUGUAGCGGUGAAAUGCGUAGAUAUCGAGAGGAACACCAGUGGCGAAGGCGAGUCCCUGGACAACACCUGACACUGAGGCACGAAAGCUAGGGGAGCAAACAGG